AACGAACGGUAGCGGCGUGGAUUAGGCAUGCAAGUCGUACGGGCAAGGUUUUCGGAUCUUGCCAGUGGCGAAAGGGUGAGUAAUGCAUAGUCAACCAACCCUGGGUCCUGGGAUAACUGCGGGAAACUGCAGCUAAUACCGGAUAGGCUGAUGAGGGCGAUGCCUUUAUCAGUAAAGAGGGCCUCUUAACAAUGCUCUCGACCGAGGACGGGGCUAUGUCCUAUCAGCAGUUGGUAGGGUAACGGCCUACCAAGGCGAUGACGGUAGCCGACCUGAGAGGGUGACCGGCCACACUGGGACUGAGACACUGCCCAGACUCCUACGGGAGCUGCAGUCGAGAAUCUUCCGCAAUGGGGGAAACCCUGACGAGCGACGCCGCGUGCGGGAGAAGGCCUGGU
rnacentral:rRNA from 1 species